rnacentral:misc_RNA from 1 species
GAUGAAGAACGCAGCGAAAUGCGAUAAGUAAUGUGAAUUGCAGAAUUCAGUGAAUCAUCGAAUCUUUGAACGCACCUUGCGCCCUUUGGCAUUCCGAAGGGCAUGCCUGUUUGAGUAUCAUGAACACCUCAACUCUUCAUGGUUUUCCAUGAUGAGCUUGGACUUUGGGGGUCUUGCUGGCCUGCGGUCGGCUCCUCUCAAAUGAAUCAGCUUACCAGUGUUUGGUGGGCAUCACAGGUGUGAUAACUAUCUUCGCUUGUGGUUUUCCACCAAGUAACCUUCAGCAGUGGAGGUUCACUGGAGCUCACAGACGUCUCUCCUCAGUGAGGACAGCCCUUUGAAUGUUUGAUCUCAAAUCAGGUAGGACUACCCGCUGAACUUAAGCAUAUCAAUAAGCGGAGGA